rnacentral:tRNA from 1 species
GGAGAGGUGGCAGAGUGGUCGAAUGCGCCUGACUCGAAAUCAGGUAUGGUGCAAGCCAUCGGGGGUUCGAAUCCCCCCCUCUCCG